GUAGUCCACGCUGUAAACGAUGAUCACUAGACGUUACUUUUGCUUGCAAAAGUAGUGUCGUAGCUAACGCGUUAAGUGAUCCGCCUGGGAAGUACGGUCGCAAGAUUAAAACUUAAAGGAAUUGACGGGGGUCCGCACAAGCGGUGGAACAUGUGGUUUAAUUCGACACUACGCGAGAAACCUUACCUAGGCUUGACAUGUAUAUGACCGCUACCGAAAUGUAGCUUUCUAGGGUUUACUCUAGACAUAUUCACAGGUGCUGCAUGGCUGUCGUCAGCUCGUGUCGUGAGAUGUUGGGUUAAGUCCUAUAACGAGCGCAACCCUUGCCAUCAGUUGCAAUCCCGUGAGGGAGCACUCUGAUGGGACUGCCUGGGAAACCAGGGGGAAGGUGGGGAUGAUGUCAAGUCAGCAUGGUCCUUAUGCCUAGGGCUACACACGUGUUACAAUGGCCAAUACAAAGGGCUGCAAAGCCGUAAGGUGAAGCUAAUCCCACAAAGUUGGUCUAAGUUCGGAUUGAGGUCUGCAACUCGACCUCAUGAAGUUGAAAUCGCUAGUAAUCGCAUAUCAGAACGAUGCGGUGAAUACGUUCUCGGACCUUGUACACACUGCCCGUCACAUCAUGAAAGCUGUUUGUACCCGAAAUCAUUUUAGCUAACUCGUAAGAGGGGCGGAUGCUGAAGGUAUGAGGAGUGAUUGGGAUG
rnacentral:rRNA from 1 species